GUUCGAAUAGGUCUGAACUUGGUGCUUCCGUUAGUUUCUCUACCUCGAAGGGUUGUGCCUCUGUCUGUUCACUGUCAAUAUUCUGUUCCGGCGAGUCUGAAGUGAAACUUCAACGAACGUCGUCUGUUUGCGCAGUAAAAGACCAAUGACUUUCAACGAAUGUGUACAACUCGGCAACGUUUGCUGUUCGUCUCAAUUCUAUAGCGGUCGCUAUAGAGAUCAUCUGAAUACGUCGAUAUGCCAUCGGACCUCUCCACAAUCAAUUCUACCUUAGACCUGUACAUAUCGACGUUGACAUAAACAACAGAAGCUUCUGAAGCCACCAACUCUCUCGUGAGAUAGCCGUCCAAUUCACAAAAGGCGACCCGGCUCAUCAUGAGUAAAUCAUAGACUAUUGUCUUUUCUAGUUAUGAAACGGAUUCGCUGAAGGCAACGAUAAAAUGUCCUGAUUUAGAUCGCUAAAGGUUCUAUUGUUAUCGUUCUUCAGUUAAUACGAAUUAAAAGGAAAUUUAGGAGUUUAGGCACGUUUUUUUUUUGGACCUUUUUCGUUUGCUCUGUGAACGAAUAUGGGGAAUUACUAUACACAUGUACAUAUUACUACAUGCCGAUUUUAAUCUCGGUAUAAGCUACGAUGUUUUAAAUUUCGUUACAUUUCAACAGAAAUGUUUGCAAUUUCUCGUAUACGGCAUUAUUUAGGCAUUGAUUUUUUUGAUGAAAUAUUAUGGCGAGUUAGUAUAGACGCGUUCAGUCCGAAUACAAAAUGUGAAAUAAGACAGAUAAAAAUAAAAUGAAUGUUAUCUUCUGGACCGAUAUAACAAAUCUACUGUGUAACAGCUUUCGUCCAGUAACGUGUCUUCUGAAGCUUUUUAGACUACCUUGAACUACCAUUUUCAAUAUGCAUUGACAAAUAGUAAAGAUGUCAAAAGAAGAUUUUCUGUGCUCGCAGGAGCUUCUUGUCAGUGGCGACGUGUGCCUUUGGAUGGGUACCCUCGUGGUAAUAGUUGUGUGAAUUAGCGCUAGAACACGGCCCACGUGUUUCUUACAUCUAUACCUUAGAUCCAGUUUGUGAGGAGGAAUCGAUGUUUGGUUUUUGUCCUUUAUCUAUAGGUUUCUUUUUUUGUUUGCUGGUUAUGAUCCUAUAUGGGAUGCUUUAAGGAAUUCCACGUGUCACUGACGAGGAACGAGCUCUGCUUUGCUGCAGAGCUUCCGUCAUCGCGGUUUUCCAUAGUCUAUUCGGGAGUGCAAGCGUAAAUUUGGCUCAAAUGUUUACUGGUUAGUGAAAUGUCAAAGAUAAGAAACGGAACAUCUAAAAUACGCAAUCGAAAUAUGUCAAUUUAUCUGGUUCUCCAUUGAUACGUUCUGCUAUUAAACUCAGCUGCAUCGUCAAGUGCCAGAAUACUAACGAAUUGAUUAAAAUACCCCAAUAAAAGAACGGGACCCCUUCAGCGAACUAACGGGAUGAAUCGCGAUAAAGUAAAACAAUAUGGCAAUGGGGUCACCGACACAAUGAGCGAAUUAAACAAAUAGAGCCACUGCGACCGGUAACUGCGAUGAAAAAACAGCAUUAUUGCAACAGGGUGUGAAGAAAAUUGUCUAAGGGCAUCAGUCGAACAAUCAUCCAGGUUAGAUUAGGUUAUAGGACAAUGUAAAUCCAGUCCUUUACUAUUAAAACGGGCCGAUGAGAUAACUGUAGCGCGGCGGCAGGACUGUCUGAACAUUCCAAAAGGAGGACGGGAUGCAAAAUACAAGAUAAUUAUAAUGUGAUAUAUUAAACGUUGCAAAUCUGUCGA